AGACCCGAAACCCGGUGAUCUAGCCAUGGGCAGGUUGAAGGUUGGGUAACACUAACUGGAGGACCGAACCGACUAAUGUUGAAAAAUUAGCGGAUGACCUGUGGCUGGGGGUGAAAGGCCAAUCAAACCGGGAGAUAGCUGGUUCUCCCCGAAAGCUAUUUAGGUAGCGCCUCGUGAAUUCAUCUCCGGGGGUAGAGCACUGUUUCGGCUAGGGGGCCAUCCCGGCUUACCAACCCGAUGCAAACUGCGAAUACCGGAGAAUGUUAUCACGGGAGACACACGGCGGGUGCUAACGUCCGUCGUGAAGAGGGAAACAACCCAGACCGCCAGCUAAGGUCCCAAAGUCAUGGUUAAGUGGGAAACGAUGUGGGAAGGCCCAGACAGCCAGGAUGUUGGCUUAGAAGCAGCCAUCAUUUAAAGAAAGCGUAAUAGCUCACUGGUCGAGU
rnacentral:rRNA from 4 species